CCCCGAAGAGCCCGCACCCACCCUUCUCUCUUCUCACGCUCGCCUAGGUUUCUCUCCCUCCUCUGGCUGCGUCCGCCUCCCGUUGGUCGUCGACUACGCUUCUCCGACUCCCAUCAACCCCUCCUCCUCCUCGCCGUCCAUACUAGCGACUGGAGUUGGGGUGGUACAAGCGGCGGUGUCUGGUGUCGUGGAGGGAUGCGUCUACAUCCAGCAAAUCCUCCCCUAUCCUCCCCUACGGCCCUGCUGCCAUGGAUGCGUCACUGAUUCAUAAUGGGUGUGCCUUUUGUGCCACGAAUCUGACUCGUGGUGAGCUCCACCGGUCGUCGUCGCAUUCCGGCAAGGGAUUCCCAGGAGGAUAGAGGAGCAUACAUGCUAUUUCCAUGCAGCAUGUAUCAGAUCGGUACUAGGUUUCUGACCUCUAGCCACAACAAAGUACAUUAUGUAAACUGUUCAUCUACCUAAAUAUGUACUUUCAGUUACCUACUGUGCUUCGGCGAUUUAUUGUUUCUUGACAGUGAAUGGGUUCAGAACUUCAGAUGCUUAUUAUGGAAUGCCCAAGUAUGAGAUUCAGGCAUGUGAUUUCUGGCCCCAACAACUUACAAUGCUACAUUCUUUUAAAUAUCAAUAAAAUGAACAUCACCUUUUCUUUCCGAAAGAGUAUUAUUGUAGCAUCAAUUGCUUUACUGUGGUUAAACUUUUUAUCGAUUAAGCUAUUCAUCGGGAACUUCAUAGAGGUUGUUCCCUGCUCUAGGCCAGUGGACAUAUAAAGUUUCUGUUCUGUUGUUUCUUGAGAGGUCAUAAUUUUUGUAGUCGUGAGUAUCAUUCAGGCCUUAAUACAACACGACCGUGAGACGCGGCACGAAGGGCUUGCCAGCCAAGAGGAGUGACGGCCGUUGGCAGCAACUGCUACUGUGGGCAAGGGAAGAUUCAUUCCAAGGUGGGGCACAUGGCGUGCCGAUGGAGUGCUAGCCGAGCUAUGACGCUGGUUCAACAUGGUCAUUCAAUUCUCGCUUCCUCUCCAAAUGCACGAGCGCCCUCGCCACUUGCCCAUGCGGAUGUUGUGGAAGCCCCCAACCAGCAUUAGGAUGGAGCCGAGGGCGGCGACGAGCUUGACUAUUGAGGAUGAUGGAGUCUGAAUCAACUAGCUCCGUGCUGAUGAUGUUGGUAUUAGGUCUUUGUGCCACGUGAGGUCGCAUAGGGGGUGCCAGUCUGGGGGACUCGACAUGCUUGCCGGUAACUUGGUGCGUAAAGUAGAUGCGAUUUUAAAGAGAUGGUGCCCCAUCGUGUUUGGCUCAAGGCGGUGGUAAUUGACUCCCAGUACAAACAAUGCAAACUAAUUCAUGUGCAGAGUUGGCCAGUCAGAUGCUUGCUUAUAUGUUGAUUUCUACUUCGAACCGAUGGCUUGGUUUGGUUUGAGAAAGUGGGUUCGGCCCAAGGGUAUGAAAUUGUUUGGUUUGGAGAUGCUUGCCUAUAUGUAGAUUUCUACUUUGACUCGAUGGCUUGGUUCGGCUUGAGAAAGUGGGUUCGACCCAGGGUUAUGGGACUGUUUGGUUUGGCUGGUGUAUAUUGGAUUGUUUGGUUGGUGUCAGUUUAAGAGUUUAUAUUGUAGCUAUAUUGGACUGGGUUUAUAGUUUUAUUAGUUCUGCAUGACGGUUCAAUUUGUUUAUUUCUUCAGAAAAUUUGUUUUAUAUCGAGCGAUGAAUCUUGAGUUCUUUGAUUUUGAAGAUCCAAAAUACUGUUAGUUCUUUGUUAAAAUUAUUUGUAAUU